GCCGGGGUGGCGGAAUUGGUAGACGCGCCAGACUCAAAAUCUGGUUGGGGCAACCCAGUGUCGGUUCGAAUCCGACCCUCGGUACCA
rnacentral:tRNA from 2 species